GGGGCAGCAUGGUCUUAGCUUGCUAAGGCCGAUGGCGACCGGCGCACGGGUGAGUAACACGUAUCCAACCUGCCGUCUACUCUUGGACAGCCUUCUGAAAGGAAGAUUAAUACAAGAUGGCAUCAUGAGUCCGCAUGUUCACAUGAUUAAAGGUAUUCCGGUAGACGAUGGGGAUGCGUUCCAUUAGAUAGUAGGCGGGGUAACGGCCCACCUAGUCUUCGAUGGAUAGGGGUUCUGAGAGGAAGGUCCCCCACAUUGGAACUGAGACACGGUCCAAACUCCUACGGGAGGCAGCAGUGAGGAAUAUUGGUCAAUGGGCGAGAGCCUGAACCAGCCAAGUAGCGUGAAGGAUGACUGCCCUAUGGGUUGUAAACUUCUUUUAUAAAGGAAUAAAGUCGGGUAUGGAUACCCGUUUGCAUGUACUUUAUGAAUAAGGAUCGGCUAACUCCGUGCCAGCAGCCGCGGUAAUACGGAGGAUCCGAGCGUUAUCCGGAUUUAUUGGGUUUAAAGGGAGCGUAGAUGGAUGUUUAAGUCAGUUGUGAAAGUUUGCGGCUCAACCGUAAAAUUGCAGUUGAUACUGGAUAUCUUGAGUGCAGUUGAGGCAGGCGGAAUUCGUGGUGUAGCGGUGAAAUGCUUAGAUAUCACGAAGAACUCCGAUUGCGAAGGCAGCCUGCUAAGCUGCAACUGACAUUG
rnacentral:rRNA from 1 species